GAGGUUGGUCGCCAUUCCUUCCAUCUUCCUGCUUUGUUCCAAAGAGGACACAUUUUGUCCCCUCUUCAAGUCAAGAUGUAGCUAUCUAGACCUUUGUUAUUUUAAUCCGUCUAUGUGUAUUAGAACAGGAUAGAUUAGUUAGUUAGCUCCAAACCUUUCUAUCCAUCAAUGGAUUUCUUUUUACCUCAAUAAAUGCUUUUAAACUUUGAAGCUAACUUUGCAGUCCUUUGCCAUUCUGAAUACACAAAGGCUUUCAAGACUCACACCGCGAUGGCAGCCAUCCCAUGUCUUGGCAGCACAGAGAAACGGA
rnacentral:lncRNA from 11 species